rnacentral:sRNA from 1 species
AGGCAAGCCGUAUAGUCGGAU